rnacentral:rRNA from 1 species
UACGUAGGGGGCUAGCGUUGUCCGGAAUCAUUGGGCGUAAAGAGCGUGUAGGCGGCCAGAUAAGUCCGCUGUGAAAUCUCGAGGCUCAACUUCGAGCUGUCGGUGGAAACUGUCAGGCUAGAGUCCGGAAGAGGAGAAUGGAAUUCCUGGUGUAGCGGUGAAAUGCGCAGAUAUCAGGAAGAACACCCGUGGCGAAGGCGGUUCUCUGGGACGGUACUGACGCUGAGACGCGAAAGCGUGGGGAGCGAACAGG